UUUUAUGAGAGUUUGAUCCUGGCUCAGGACGAACGCUGGCGGCGUGCCUAAUACAUGCAAGUCGUACGCUUCUUUUUCCACCGGAGCUUGCUCCACCGGAAAAAGAGGAGUGGCGAACGGGUGAGUAACACGUGGGUAACCUGCCCAUCAGAAGGGGAUAACACUUGGAAACAGGUGCUAAUACCGUAUAACAAUCGAAACCGCAUGGUUUUGAUUUGAAAGGCGCUUUCGGGUGUCGCUGAUGGAUGGACCCGCGGUGCAUUAGCUAGUUGGUGAGGUAACGGCUCACCAAGGCCACGAUGCAUAGCCGACCUGAGAGGGUGAUCGGCC
rnacentral:rRNA from 1 species